rnacentral:rRNA from 1 species
AUGGUAGGGUACGAAACCACCUCAAAGUUAUUCUUUCCGAACGAAUGUGGUUCCGAUCCCUCCGGUGAUGCCAGAAGUCGUUUCGAUAUACGAUUUUAUCCGGUUCCUAUUUUAUUUAUUAUCCCUGAUCCGGAAGUCACCUUUUCUUUUCCUUGGGCAGUACCUCCUAACAAGAUUGAUCUGUUUGGAUCUUGGUCCAUGAUGGCCUUUUUAUUGAUUUUGACUCAAUCCAUUGGGCUAUUCCUAUAA